UAAAAGAAAUAUUAAAGUUUUUAUAUGAUUAAAUUAUAUGUAAUAGGGAAAAAAAUAAAAGAAAAAUACCUGGAAUGCAAGUGGAUAACCAUGUAAUGAAUAUUUACAAUCCGUUUGGUCAUUUUGUUGCAUCAUUCGUAUUCUUUCGAGGUGUGAUUCUUGCAAUGAAUUUAGUAAAACGAAGUAUGCUUUACGUCCCCACGGAUACAUAAGAAAUUCAUCAAGUUGUUCAACCAUUCCAAGGGUUCUGAAAUCGAUGUGUCUUCCAUUUGGUUUUAAAACGCAUUCGACGAACAUAACUAAUCCUAACUUGAAUUUAUCUUCUUGAUUUUCACACAUGUGAAAUACUUCAGAAAGUCUUUUCAUAGUAAUUCUUUUUGAACC
rnacentral:lncRNA from 1 species